AUCGUAAUAGUUCAUUAGAUUCACAUUUUCUGCCCACUUUGACCCAUGCUCGAAACUCAAAAUGGCUCCGAAUUGAUGGAUCUUCAAAAAUAUGCUUAGCAAGAGUUGUCUUUCCAACGCCCGCCAUCCCAAUAAUCGAAUAGUGUUUAUCUUCAAGAAGAUUAUCUCUUGCUUUUUGAAAUUCAUCAGAUAAUCCAACCAUCUUUGAUUUGAUUCCACCAAAAUCGAUUCUUGAGGAAAUAGGCUCGCCUUCUUCUUCUGGCAUAUUCUCCAUUUCAUAAGUGUAUUCCUCCUCCAUCUUCUUCAUCUUCUCGACGAAGCAAUCAACAUGGUGUUGCAGACUCUGCAGCUCUACAGAGAAUGACAAGUUGUCCCUCUCGCUGUCGAGUUGUGGAAGAAUCUGAGGUAAGACAUGGGAUUCGAGUAAAUCUUCAAAUUCCCAAAUUGCCUCUUUGAUUCGUUCAUCCGCAGCAUUCACCUUCGUCCUGAUCUUGCUGCAGCUGGUCUCGUCCAAUUUGAGCAGAACAUUCUGCAAGCGAUCCACCUCGUCGUAGGCAGGUAGUAAGAUCUGUGGAGAGGGGGAAAUGCAAAACAAUUGUAGAAUACAGUGAAUCGUAUUCUUGAGAAAAGUCACUGCACCAUAAUCAGCUGAGGGUAGUAUUUGUGGAGAGUGGGAAACGAGAGAAAUGCGAGACGAUUGUAGAAUACGCUCAAUCGUAUUCUUCAGAGAAUCCGCCGCACCAUAAGCCGCCAUAUCCACAAACUUAGCUCAGAAAUUUUCUUCCAAAAACUGUGUGGUAGAAAUUGCCUAAGAAAGAAACGGAGAUGAAGAAGAAUUAUAAUAAGCAAAAUGAGAUGAAACAAAUGAUAGAUCUUCUGUGCUGUACCUCUCGUGGAGGAGUUGGCACAAGUCAACGGCGGCGGCGGCGGCAGCUGGUUUUGAUACAAUCUCAGAAACAUUCAAGAAUUUUAGUAAAUGAUUUUGAUACGAUGGUAAAAUGGAUGUAUUGAUGAUUUUGAAGGCAAAUUAAGGUGUGGAAGAAUAAUUACAGGGAAGAUUAAUUAUUAUGAAGAUUGAGCAGUUGAUCAAGCGCGUUGAAAAUUAUAACAGCGGCAAGCAAUCUAACUCAUAAAUAAUGACAAUUUGACAUUUUUACAUAAUUUAAAAUUUUGAAAUAAAUAAAUAUAUUGUGGCUAGGAGUGUACAUUAAAUAAAAAUACUGAUAAAUUUCAAACAUUAAUUUUCUACAUUGUUAGAGGUGUAACUCUGUUUAAUUUAUUUGGAUUAUCGAGUUUGACAUGAAUUUUUACUUAGAUUAGCUUAUCUUUUGAAAAGUUUGAUCAUUUAUAUUUACAUGCAAUUCAUCCAAUUUUUUACUUAUAAAUUAUAUGUCAAACAAAAUUGGAUUUUGGGUGGUUGUAUAUAUAGUCCCUAAUAAUAAUAAUAAUUUUAACCUUAUAACUCCUAUUAGAAAAAUUAUACAAUUAUAAACAAAUUCUGCUUAUACUAAAUUAUCCAUGAUGCUAACAAAUUUAGGAAUUUGAAAGUUCCUUGUGUUUUGGAUUGCUGGAGUUUGCAUCGAGGUGAUUAGGCACUUUCGUUCUUUUUGGGCUUACGAUUUUGAGUUCGGCCCAUGUUUUCCUAUUUCUUUAGAAUUCUGUUUGGGCUUUGGAUCCCUUAUCGGCCCUUUUAGUUUAUUAGGUGGUGUUGUUUUUUUUUUUUUGAGGCGGUGUUGCAUGUUGUUUCAAGGGCUUUAUGUUUUAUUUUUCGAUUAAUAUUUAAUUUAAGUAAUUAAUAUCCUUUUUUAAGGGAUUUAACUAAACCGGUAAACUUAAUUUUAAUAAGUAACAGAAUAUAAAUUUUAGCGUGAGUUCGAUUAGACAUGAGAGGUGAUGUGAUCUUCAUGUAGCAUUCAAAGCAUCUUAUAGGUAACUAUGAGACAUCUUUAAUGAAAAAUCAAUAAAUAAAGCCAACUACUCAACCAUCUCUCCUGCAUUUCGACACUAUAAAUAAAGCUUGAUAUAUAUGAGAUGGAAGUAUGAUAUAUUCAUUCAGAUUAAUUGCAGCAAACUCAUCUCUGCCACCAAUCUGUAAUCUACAUGCACUAUAAACACAGAUAGAGCAGUAAAGAAUAAUUCUUGCUUGCAAACUAAAGCAUUCACUAACUGUAAGAACACAUAAAAUUCAUGCACAAAGCAAAAAUUGCAGUCCUUAAAUAAGACACUAAUGUUUUCACACAAAUUCAACUUACAACAAUUUUAGUUACAAACACCACUCAGCACUGAGGUUUCAUAAUCCUCAACAAAUGAGUAUGAACAACAAUCUCAAUAUAUCAUUUGCAAAAGAGAUGGAAAAGAAACACAAUAAACAAGCAAUCAAUCUCAGAGAAAUUGAAACAGAAAUUAAUAAGUUAAUCAUGGAUUUAAUUCAAUCUGCUCUGGUCUGAUUCUAACACCUUGUUUGAUCCUCAUAUGAAAAUCUAUCUGUAAAGCCGGUUUCUCUGUCUUUUGAGUCUAACCAACUAAUUCCAAGUUCAUUUUGAAAUAUGAAGCCAGAAAUUAACUAUUAUACUGCCAGAAUCUGAGAUUUUUAAGCUAUUAAACAAACAAAUCAACUGAUUACACACAAAUGUCAAAACAAAGUGAAAAUCAUGCAUCACAACUAAUGCUUUCACACAAAUCCAACUUACAACAAUUUCGGUAACAAACUGCAUACACAAUUCAGCAUUCAGGUUUCAUAAUCCCCAACAAAAUCCAAAUCAAGUUACAAAUCCUUAAUUCAGACGACAACGUGAUACAAUCUACAUUAUGGGAUAACGCAGCGUCUGACCCCUUCAGCUCUCCCAUUUGCCUGAAAAGUGACAGAACUGUGACUAUAACAGAAGAUAUAUAUUUAUGACAUGAAUUGAUUUGGUUUGUAUGUGAAAAAAGAGAAGAAGCAGGGAAGAAACAUUAAGACGUGAUAUAUAUUGCAAAGUAGUGAGACUAACCUGUCAGGCAAGUUGCUAAUUCACUUGAGCUCAAAAAGAAGAUUUGACGAUAAGUUUGAAGGAAAACUUAUCUUUUAAUUGAUUGGCACAAGCCACAGCUAAAGGAUUGCACUCCACUAAUUUAAUGGUCGUGAUCGAAGACUGAUCAUCCGGCAAAUCGAGCUGUUGCAAUUUGUAGCAGUGCUCCAUCCUUAGUAUACGAAGCCUCGGGAGGCUUCCACGUUGAGGUCUCCAUUGCACCAAAUCGGUGUCUUCAAUUCGAAGUUCAAUAAGAUUCAAGAAACUCCCCGGUUUUAUUUCCCACUCUGGGCCUCGAAAGGCAUAGCAUUCUAAUCGGAGAAACCCGAGAUUUGGAAGCAGCGAACCAAUGUCAUUUAGAGACCCCCAAGGAUAUCCAACGCCAAUCAAUUCUAAACAACCGAGACUUGAUGGGAACAUUGAAGGAUGAAAAAUAGUAGGAAACUCACGCCUUAUCUCGGGAUUCCUGAUUCUAUAGCAAAGUGUUCCCAAAUUCCGGAGUUCUGAUAUAUAACUCAAAGAACUCAAUGGGUUGACUUCAUCAUCAUCAUAAGGCUUCAACUCCACUACAAUUUCUAAUUGCUUUAAAUUAGGAAUUCUUUUGAGAACUUCCCUUGUACAACUGUUUGCACUCACACCAUAAAGUCUGAUGAGUUUAUUCAAGGUAGCAUCAUCAGUACUUGGGGUUGGUAGGUCCUUUCCCGGGAUCUCAAUAUGCUCUAAUUCUUGCAUGUCCCAAAUUUGCACAGGCAUAUAUGACUGAACUCCACGCUUUUUAAUGAUCAUAUGUCUGUAAAUAAUCAGGAAUUGAAGUUGAAAAAGGUUGGAUAUGGAAGCAGGGAGGUCACCGUUGUAAGUUAUGGCAAGAAGUCGUAGACAAACUAGUUUGAAAAUUUCAGUUGAGAUAUGGUAAAAUCGGACUUGACCAGCAUGUAGUACCCUGAGCAACUUGAAACCCAUGGCUUGUAUUGGAAUUGGAUAUGGGUGACCAAAACAAAGGAGAGAACGGACAGUCGAUGCACAAUCAAUUUUUAUCGAAUCAGACACUUGUUUGAAGCAUAAUAAACUGUUCCAAUGGGAACUCAAACGGCGCUGGUCUUUUAUAACAUCAUCACAACAUUGUAUGACAUGUAGAAACUUGAUCCUACUAGCUUCUACCCUACACAUGUGCUGCCAACAAGAAUGCACACGAUACUUUCUAUACCAAAACCAAGGUUCAUCAUCCUGUGAUUUGUCGAGAACAACAUGAUACCACAUCGAAAGCUUUCCCAAGCAUGUCUGCUUAAAAAGAUAAAAACUUUCUUCUCCACUCGGUUGAAGAAACACAUCAGCACUCAACGUAUAGAAGAGCAAUAUUACCGUGAUAUCCCAAUAUGGAGGGAAAGCUCCCAUGUAGAGAAGAAACAUUUUUAAAUAUUGGGGUAAGUAAUUAUAGCUUGGGAAAAGUACCUCUGAUAUUUGAUUAUAUGCAUCCACAAAGACUGAACUAUGUUUUUUGAUGAUUACCUCAGUCCAGUAUUCUGGGGUCUUGUCAGCUUCUGAUAAGAGCUUUGCAACCGUGACUAUCAUAAGAGGAAGGCCUUCACAUUUCAUGGCAAUCUUCUCUCCAAGUUUCUCAAGUUGAAAUGGAAAACCCUCUUCACCAAACACUUUCUCACCAAGUAAUUCCUUACUUUCUUCUUCAUUCAACAAGCGUAAUCUUUCAAAUUCACACCCACCCUCCGCGCAUACUAUUGCUUGUCUGCUUGUAAGUAUGAAUUGAAUCCUUCCAUCAAUAUUCUCAUGUCGCAAGAAAUUUCUAAUGAGAUUUACUGCUUGCAUCUCCCAAACAUCAUCGAACACGAUGAGACAUUUCUCAUCCUUCAAUUUUUCUUUCAAUACUUCAACUAAAUUCUCCCCAUUUUCAAGCAGUUCAUCAGCGUUGGGAAACACUUGAGCUAGAACGCAUGGUAAUAGUUCACAAGAUUCACAUUUUCUGCCCACUUUCACCCAUGCUCGAAACUCAAAAUGGCUCCGAAUUGAUGGAUCUUCAAAAAUAUACUUAGCAAGAGUUGUCUUUCCAACGCCCGCCAUCCCAAUAAUAGAAUAUGUUACGAUAAUGGAGGAGGAGAAGCAAAUGAGUUCUGGGCUAUUGGCUGAAAAAGGUGCUGAGCUGGCUGAAGAAAGAAAUUUCGUUGGCAAAACAGGGGAGGAUUUCCUCUCAAAAAGUGGCUAAGGAAGAAGAUGGUUGUUAUUUGAAGAAGCGUGUUUAUGUUAUCUAUUUAAUUGUUAUUUGUUUACUUUUCCAAGGCAGUUAGUUACGUGAGGGGACCAGCAUAUAUAUAUGCUUUGCAUGUAAAAGUUUUGACCUAAGAAAUGAAAUAUCCUAUCUCUCAUGCUUCUGCCUCCUCCUCCGAUUCUUUCUCUAUUUCUCCCAUCUAUUCUUCUUCUUCCUCAUCAAGUUUUUAACUUUAUACACUAUCCUUACAGAUCCACUACCGUGAAACAUAAAUCCAGCUAGAUCUAUUACAUUUGGUAUAUCAGAGCAAGGUUUCUUUGCUUUUAUUUAGCAAAGCUUGUUCGAUCAUGGCCGACGGUACGCGUUUGAAGGAACUGCAGGAAGCACAAAAGAAAAUGGAUCAGUUAUUGCAAGCUGAAUCAUUAAAAAGAACAGCUACUGAAGAAAGGUUUAAAGAGCAGAUAGCAGGGCUAGAUCAGAAGGUGGAUGCAAAAUAUGAUCAGUUAUCUGUCAUCUUGGGGGAAAUCAAACAACAACUCCUGUUUUUGGGCCAGAACAGGGAGGAUAUGGGAUCUAUUUUGGGUCCACCUCCGAACUCAGGCAAGAAAGAGGUAAUUCUAAUAGAAAUCAUGUUUUUACAUCUAAAAUCAGGAAUGAUUACUCAUCUCAGUCUAGUUUCAAUUCUGGAAAUUCUGUGCAUAGAAUCGAUUUCCCAAAAUUUGAUGGCACCAACCCUAGAGGAUGGAUUCUUAAGUGCAAUACCUAUUUCAAAUUGACUGCUGCUAUGUCUGAUGAGAAUAUGGUUCAACUUGCUGUUCAUAAUUUUGAGGGGAAAGCACUGCAGUGGUUACAGAAUUUUGGGUGUGAGAAUUUAUUUCUAUUACCUGGGAGCAAUUCAUGGAUGUGGUGGCUGCUAGGUUUGAGGAUUUGAAUGAGGGAAAAAUAGUAAUGGAAUUCAAGAAUCUUAAACAAAAUGGUUCUUAUGAUGAGUAUGUAGGAAAAAUUUGAAGAANGAUAUUUGAUUAUAUGCAUCCACGAAGACUGAACUACGUUGCUUGAUGAGUACCUCAGUCCAAUAUUCUGGGGGUCUUGUCGGCUUUUCGAUAGGAGCUCUGCAACCGUGACUAUCAUAAGAGGAGGCCUUCACAUUUCUUGGCAAUCUUCUCUCCCAGUUUCUCAAGUUGAGGUGGGAAACCCUCUUCACCAAACACUUCUCACCAAGUAAUUGCUUACUUUCUUCUCAUUCAACAAGCGUAUUCUUUCGUCACCCACCCUUUGUGUAUAUUAUUUGUUUUCUGCUUGUAAGUAUGAAUUGAAUCUUCCAUCAAUAUUCUCAUGUCGCUAGAAAUUUCUUAAUGAGAUUUACUGCUUGCAUCUCCCAAACAUCAUCGAACACGAUGAGACAUUUCUCAUCCUUCAAUUUUUCUUUCAAUACUUCAACUAAAUUCUCCCCAUUUUCAAGCAGUUCAUCAAAGUUGGGAAACACUUGAGCUAGAACGCAUGCUAAUAGGUCACAAGAUUCACAUUUUCUGCCCACUUUCACCCAUGCUCGAAACUCAAAAUGGCUCCGAAUUGUUGGAUCUUCAAAAAUAUGCUUAGCAAGAGUUGUCUUUCCAACGCCCGCCAUCCCAAUAAUCGAAUAGCUUUUAUCUGCAAGAAGAACAUCUCUGGCUUUUUGAAAUUCAUCAGAUAAUCCAACCAUCUUUGACUUGAUUCCACCAAAAUCAAUUCUUGAGGAAAUAGGCUCGUCUUCUUCUUCAGGCAUAUUCUGCAUUUCAAUGAAGUACUCCUCCUCCAUCAUCUUUACCAUCUCGACGAAGCAAUCAACAUGGUGUUGCAGACUCUGCAGCUCUACAGAGAAUGACAAGUUGUCUCUCUCGCUUUCGAGUUGUGGAAGAAUCUGAUGUAAGACAUGGGAUUCGAGUAAAUCUUCGAAUUCCCAAACUGCCUCUUUUAUGAGUUCAUCCAAAGCAUUCACCUUCGUCCUGAUCUUGCUGCAGCUCGUGUCGUCCAAUUUGAGCAGAACUUUCUGCAACUCAUCCAUCUGGCCGUAGGCAGGUAGUAAGAUUAGUGGAGAGUGGGAAACGAGAGAAAUGCGAGGCGAUUUUAGUAGAAUACGCAUAAUGGUAUUCUUGAGAGAAGCCGCCGCACCAUAAGCCGCCAUAUCCAAAUAAAUAAUCUGCUGAUCGUUGAAAUUAGCUCAGAAAUUUCCUCCAAAACUCUGUGGUAGAAAUCGCCUAAGAAAGAAACGGAUAUAAGAAUUAUUUUGAUGUUAGAUUAACAGAACUGUGUAUUAAAAUGAACUAAAAUUAGCUGCAAUAUGAAGCUUAAAAUGAACUAAAAUCAGCUGUAACAUGAAGCUUAAAUGAACUAAAAUCAGCUGCUAUAUGAAGCUUAAAGUGAACUAAUUAAAUCAGCUGCAACAUGAAGCUUUUAAAAUAAACUAAAAUCAGCUGCAAUAUGAAGCUUAAAAUUAACUCUAAAAUAAACUAAAAUCAGCAUAUGAAGUUUGAAAUGAACUCAAAUCAGCUGUAAUAUGAAGCUUAAAAUGAACUCUAAAAUGAACUAAAAUCAACUGCAGUGCGACAAACCCAAUCAGCUGAGAAUACGAUUGUUGAAACGACAUUGCUGAGCUCUGCAAAUUUCCUUCAAAAUGAAGCUUAAUAUCAACUGCAAUUAGCCCAGAAUAAAAUUGUGUGGUAGAAAUCGCCUAAGAAAGAAACGGAGAAGAAGAAUUAUAAUAAGCAAACAGAGAUGAAACAAAUGAUAGAUCUCAGCUAGCUCUGUGCUGUACCUCUCGUGGCACAAGUCGACGGCGGCGGCGGCAGCUGGUUUUGAUUUUGAUACAAUUUCAGAAACAUUCAAGAAUUUUAGUAAAUGAUUUGAAAAGAUGUGUAUAAUGCUAAUGGUAAAAUGGAUGUAUUGAUGAUUUUGAAGGCAAAUUAACGUGUGGAAGAAUAGUUAAAGGAGCGAGAAACAAAGCAACGGAAGAUUAAUUAUGAAGAUUGAGCAAUCAAGCAGUUGAACAGUUGAUCAAACGUGUUACGAUUGGAUUCACUCCUUUAGUUGUAUUGAUAAGAUAAGAUUGCUACGACGCCAUAAAGUAAAGUCGUGCUUUGCUUUUGCAUGGGGAAUUAGGGCCACUCAUUUCAAUAUUAAACCUUCUUUACAUAAAUAUUUCAACUCUAUUUUAUUUUACUAGCAGAAAGAGCGCACGUUGUACACAUCUUAUUUUAUUUGAUAAGAUAAAAAUAUAUAAAUAUAGUAUCUAUUAUAUUUAACUUUUCAAUUAACAAUUUGAUCUAUUUGAUUCUACAACUAUAAUAAACUCUUUUUAAAAUAAUAAUCAAUAAAUUAAUAAACUCUAUAAAUUAAUAAAUUUCUUAUGUUCUAACUUGGGUCAAUUCAAAAAAUCAUCAAUUUUAAUAAAACUUUCUCCGUCCGCCAAAAGUAUGCCACUUUUGUCAUUUUUAGCGUCCGUGAAUAGUAUGUUACUUACAUUUUUAGGUACAUUUUUUUUAUCAUUUAUUUUUAAAAAUACCCAUUAAUUAUUUACAAAAAUAAAUAAAUAAAUAAAAAAUCAGCCUGUAUUCAAUCACAUCCACUCAUAUCAUACAAUGGUGGGACAAUUUUUCUCCACUACAUAAAAAUCACCAAUCAUUUUAUUAAAAUCGGUGUCAACCAAAGUGACAUACUUUUUGUGGAUGAAAGGAGUAAUAAUUAUUUUUUAGAGAACCCUGUUGUAAACAUAUAGGUCCUGUUAAUAUUAUAAAUUAAUAAUUCUUAAAAUAUUACAAUUAUGUAUAUUAUGGUAAUUGUUAAAAUAUAAACCUAUUGUUGAAUCAUCUUAAUUAACUAAAUUUUUGGGCUGCCAACUUAAUUAACUAAUAUACUUUCUGCUUAAUUAUCCUUAUACAAUUGUGAUUGUCUGCUUAUACUUAAUUUUUGGGCUUAGGAUUUUGAGUUCGGCCCAUGUUUUCCUUGUUCUUUAGAAUUCUUUUUGGGCUUUUGGCACUUCGACCUUUUGUUAUUUGGAUCCUUUCUCGCCCCAUCUUUUUUUCUAUAUAAAGAAAAAAAAUAUUAGCUUAUAAAUAAAUUCAAACUUGUAUAAAAAAAAAUUGAACUGAAUUGCUUACCAAAUAUUAUAACAUUUGAAAAAUCUUUGACUGAAGGGGAAGAAUGGCAGGAGAAAAAAGAUGGUGAAAGAAAUAUGGUUCAAAGAAAAUUUGCGUGAAAGUAUAUUAUGUAUAAGUGAAUUGUGUAACUGUUGAAGACGUGUGUAAUUUAAAUAAAUUGACUUAUUUAUUUAUUUAUAUCUUUUAAGUUGGUCACUGUUGUGGGUUAGUGGGAUACAUAUGUAAAACUACCGUGACAUGAUGUGAGUUAAAUUUGCCGUUAAAUAGUUAAAAAUUAGUAAGAUUCUGUUAAAAAUUUGGCCCUAAAUAUUUUUCUGUUAAACUGCUUCUUUAUAUAUUAUAUAGAUUAUUUCGAUUAAUAUUUAAUUUAAGUAAUUAAUAUCCUUUUUUAAGGGAUUUAACUAAACCGGUAAACUUAAUUUUAGUAAGUAACAGAAUAUAAAUUUUAGCGUGAGUUCGAUUAGACAUUAGAGGUGAUCUGAUCUUCAUGUAGCAUUCAAAGCAUCUUAAUUAUAGGUAACUAUGAGACAUCUUUAAUGAAAAAUCAAUAAAUAAAGCCAACUACUCAACCAUCUCUCCUGCAUUUCGACACUCUAUAAAUAAAGCUUGAUAUAUAUGAGAUGGAAGUAUCAUAUAAUUCAUUCAGAUUAAUUGCAGCAAACUCAUCUCUUCCACCAAUCUGUAAUCAACAUGCACUAUAAACACAGAUAGAGCAGUAUAGAAUAAUUCUUGCUAGCAAACUAAAACAUUCUCAAACUAAGAACACAUAAAAUUCAUAACACAGAAAAAUUACAGUCCUUGAAUAAGAGACUAAUGUUUUCACACAAAUCCAACUUACAACAAUUUUUGCUACAAACACAUUCAGCACUCAGGUUUCAUAUAUAAUCCUCAACAAAUCACAAUCCUUAAAUUCAUACAACAAUGUGGUAAUACAACAAUGGAAUUCAAAUCUUGGGAUGACGCGGCGUCUGAUCCCUUCGGCUCUCUCAUUUGCCUGAAAAUUGAUAGAGCUGUGACAAUAACAAAAGAUAUAUAUUUAUGAUAUGAAUUGAUUUGUCUGUGAAAAAAGAGAAGAAGCAGGGAAGAAAUAUUAAGACGUGAUAUAUAUUGCAAAGUAGUGAGACUAACCUGUUACGCAAGUUGGAAAGUCACUUUAGCUCAAAAGAAGAAUAGACCAUAAGUUUGUAGGAAAACUUAUAUCUUAAUUGAUUGGCAAAAGCCACAGCUAAAGGAUUGCACUCCACUAAUUCAAUGGUCCUGAUCGAAGACUGAUCAUCCGACAAAUCGAGUUGUUGCAAUUUGUAGCAGUGCUUCAUCUUUAGUGUACGAAGCAUCGGGAGGCUUCCACAUUGAGGUCUCCAUUGCACCAAAUCGGUGUCCUCAAUUUGAAGUUCAAUGAGUUUCAAGAAACUCCCCGGUGUUAUUUCCCACUCUCGGCCUCGAAAGGCAUAGCAUUCUAAUUUGACAAUCUCGACUUUAGGAAGCAGCGAACCAAUGUCAUUUAGAGACUCCCAAGGAUAUCCCAACCCACUCAAAGAUAACAUUUUGAGACUUGAUGGGAACAUAGAAAGACGAAUAAUAGUAGGAAACUCACGCUUUAUCUCGGGAUUCGUCAUUCUAUAGUAAAGUGUUACCAAAUUCUGGAGUUCUGAUAUAUAACUCAAAGAACUCAAUGGGUUGGUUUCAUCAUCAUCAUAAGGCUUCAACACCACUUCAAUCGCUAAGUCCUUUAAAUUAGGAAUUCUUUUGAGAACUUCCAUUGUACAACUGUUUACACUCACACCAUAAAGUCUAAGGAGCUUGUUCAAGGUAACAUCAUCUGUGUUAGGGGUUGGUAGGUCCCUUCCCCAUAUCUCAAGAUGCUCUAAUUCUUCAAUAUCCCAAAUUUGCACAGGCACAAAAGACUGAACUCCGCGCUUUUUAAUGAUCAUAUGUUCAUGAAUAAUCAAGAAUUGAAGGUUAAAAAGGUUGGAUAUGGAAGGUGGGAGGUCCCCGUUGCAAGUUAGGGCAAGGUACCGCAGACAAACAAGUUUCAAAAUUUCAAUUGGGAUAUGGUAAAAUCGGACUUGAAAAGCAACAAGUACAUUGAGCAACUUGAAACCCAUGGCAUGUAUUGGGACUGGAUAUUGGUGAUAAGGACCGAAACAAAGGAGAGAACGAACAGUGGAUGCACAAUCACUUCUUAUCGAAUCACACACUUGUUUGAAGCAAAAUAAACUAUUCCAAUGGGCACACAAGCGACGCUGGCCUUUUAUAACGUCAUCACAACUUUGUAAGACAUGCAAAAACUUGAUCCUACUAGCUUCUACUCUACACACGUGCUGCCAACAAGAAUGCACACGAUAGUUUCUAUCCCAAAACACAUGUUCAUCCCCCUGUGAUGUAUCGAGAAGAAGAUGAUAAAACAUCGAAAGCUUUUCCAAACAUGUCUUAAAAAAAUGAUCAAAACUUUCUUCUCCACUCGGUUGAAGAAACACAUCAGCACUCAACAUAACAUUGAGCAUGGUUAUAUGGAUAUCCAAAUAUGGAGGGAAAUCCCCCAUAUAGAGAAAAAGCAUUUUUAACUGCUGGGAUAAAUAGUCAUAGCUUGGGAAAAGUACCUCUGAUAUUUGAUUAUAUGCAUCCACAAACACUGAACUAUGUUGUUUGAUGAGUAUCUCAGUCCAGUAUUCUGGGGUCUUGUCGGCUUCUGAUAGGAGCUUUGCAACCGUGACUAUCAUAAGAGGAAGACCUUCACAUUUCUUGGCAAUCUUCUCUCCAAGUUUCUCAAGUUGAAAAGGAAAACCCUCUUCACCAAACACUUUCUCACCAAGUAAUUCCUUACUUUCUUCGACAUUCAACAAGCGCACUUUUUGAUACCCACCCGUCGUGGAUACUAAAUUUAUUCUACUUGUAAGUAAGACUUGAAUCUUUCCACCUAUAUUCUCUUCUAGCAACCAAUUUGUCAAGCGAUCUGCUGCUUGUAUCUCCCAAACAUCAUCCAACACGAUGAGACAUCUCUCAUCCUUCAACUUUUCUUUCAAUUGUUCAACUAAUUUCUCCUCAUCAUCAUCUCCUUGGGUAAGCAGUUCGUAAGCGUUGGGAUCCACUUGAGCUCGAACGCAUCGUAAUAGUUCUUUAGAUUCACAUUUUCUGCCCACUUUCACCCAUGCUCGAAACUCAAAAUGGCUCCGAAUUGAUGGAUCUUCAAAAAUAUGCUUAGCAAGAGUUGUCUUUCCAACGCCCGCCAUCCCAAUAAUCGUAUAGCUUUUAUCUGCAAGAAGAACAUCUCUGGCUUUUUGAAAUUCAUAGAUAAUCCAACCAUCUUUGAUUGAUCCACCAAAAUCAAUUCUUGAGGAAAUAGGCCGCCUUCUUCUUCAGCCAUAUUCUCCAUUUCAUAGUGUAUUCCUCCUCCAUCACUUUAUCUUCUCGACGAAGCAAUCAACAUGGUGUUGCAGACUCUGCAGCUCUACAGGGAAUGACAAGCUGUCUCUCUGGCUUUCGAGUUGUGGAAGAAUCUGAUGUACGACAUGGGAUUCGAGUAAAUCUUCAAACUCCCAAACUACCUCUUUGAUUCGUUCAUCCACAGCAUUCACCUUCAUCCUGAUCUUGCUGCAGCUGGUGUCGUCCAAUUUUAGCAGAAUUCUCUGCAAGCGAUCCAUCUCUUUGUAGACAGGUUGUAAGAUGUGUGGAGAAAUGAGUGGAAUGCGAAACGAUUGUAGAAUACGGUGAAUCGUAUUCUUGAGAGAAGUGGCUGCACCAUAAGCCGCCUUACCCAAAUCAUCUGAGAAUACGAUUUGUGGAGAGGGGGAAGCUAUCAAAACGCAAAAAAAAACCGCAUUCUUGAGAAAAGUCGCUGCACCAUGAGCUGAGAAUACGAUUUGUGGAGAGGGCGAAACAAGGGAAAUGCGAGAUGAUUGUAGAAUACGGUGAAUCGUAUUCUUGAGAGAAGCUGCCGCAGCAAAAGCCGCCAUAUCCAAAUAAUCUGCUGAUCGUUGAAAUAAAAUUGCUUCCACAAACUUAGCUCAAAAAUUUUCCUCCAAAACUGUGCGGUAGAAAUCGCCUAAGAAAGAAACGGAGAAGAAGAAGAAGAAUUAUACUAAUAAGCAAAUGGAGAUGAAACAAAUUAAUGAUACAUCUUUAGCUCUCUGCUGUACCUCUCGUUGGCGCAAGUCGGCGGCGGCGGCAGCUCGUUUUGAUACUGUGAGUCUUAUUUGGCCCAAACCAUCACACCAAAGCCCCUCCUGACAGGCCCAUUCCUUGCCUUCUUAAGCUUCGUUGCCCUAAUUGCUAAGUGAUGGAAAAUGAGCAAAGAAGAGGCAGCUUGAGUUCAAAAUUGGGUGAACCUAUUUCUCUCAGUGAGAUAGAGUGAGAGAUGUGUAUGAUGCAAUGGUAAAAUGGAUGUAUUGAUGAUUUUCAAGGCAAAUUAAGGUGUGGAAGAAUAAUUAUAGGAGCGACAAACAAAUUAAGCAACGGAAGAUUAAUUAUGAAGAAGAUUGAGCAAUAUUCAAGCAGUUGAACAGUUGAUCAAACGUGUUACGAUUGGAUUCAUUCCUUUAGCUGUAUUGAUAUGAUAAGAUAAGAUAAGAUUGAGUCCCUUACUACGACGCCAUAAAUACAAGUCGUGCUUUGCUUUUGCAUGGGGAAUUAGGGCCACUCAUUUCAAUAUUAAACCUACUUUACAUAAAUAUAUUUCAACUCUAUUUUUUUAUAGCAGAAAGAGCGACGUUGUACAUCUUAUUUUAUUUGAUAAGAUAAAAAUAUAUAAAUAUAGUAUCUAUUAUAUUUAAUUUUCAAUUUUAACAAUUUUGAUCUAUUUGAUUCUACAACUAUAAUAAACUCUUUUUAAAAUAAUAAUCAAUAAAUUAAUAAACUCUAUAAAUUAAUAAAUUAAUAAAUUACUUAUGUUCUAACUUGGGUCAAUUCAAAAAAUCAUCAAUUUUAAUAAAACUUUCUCCGUCCGCCAAAAAGUAUGCCACUUUUGCAUUUUUAGCGUCCGUGAAUAGUAUGUUACUUCAUUUUUAGGUACAUUUUUUUAUCAUUUAUUUUAAAAUACCUUAUUAUUUACAAAAAUAAAUAAAUAAAUAAAAAAAUCAGCCUGUAUUCAAUCACAACCACUCAUAUCAUACAAUGGUGGGACAAUUUUUCUCCACUACAUAAAAAUCACCAAUCAUUUUAUUAAAAUCGGUGUCAACCAAAGUGACAUACUUUUUGUGGAUGAAAGGAGUAAUAAUAUUUUUUAGAGAACCCUUUGUAAACAUAUAGGUCCUGUUAAUAUUAUAAAUUAAUAACUUUUAAAAUAUUACAAUUAUGUAUAUUAUGGUAACUUGUUAAAAAUAAACCUAUUGUUGAAUCAUCUUAAUUAACUAAAUUAUUGGGCUGCCAACUUAAUUAACUAAUAUACUUUCUGCUUAAUUAUCCUUAUACAAUUGUGAUUGUCUGCUUAUACUUAAUUUUUGGGCUUAGGAUUUUGAGUUCGGCCCAUGUUUUUCCUUUUCUUUAGAAUUCUUUUUGGGCUUUUGGCACUUCGACCUUUUGUUAUUUGGAUCCUUUCUCGCCCCAUCUUUUUUUCUAUUUAAAGAAAAAAAAANUAUUAGCUUCUAAAUAAAUUCAAACUUGUAUAAUAAAAAACAAAUUGAACUGAAUUGCUUACCAAAUAUUAUAACAUUUGAAAACUGUUUGAUUGAAGGGGAAGAAUGGCAGGAGAAAAAAGAUGGUGAAAGAAAUAUGGUUCAAAGAAAAUUUGCGUGAAAGUAUAUUAUUUAUAAGUGAAUUGUGUAACUGUUGAAGACGUGUGUAAUUUAAAUAAAUUGACUGCUUUAUUUAUUUAUAUCUUUUAAGUUGGUCAUUGUUGUGGGUUGGUGGGAUACAUAUGUGAGUUAAAACUACCGUGACAUGAUGUGAGUUAAAUUUGCCGUUAAAUAAUUAUUAAGAUUUUGUUAAAAAUUUGGCGCUAAAUAUUUUUCUGUUAAACUGCUUCUUUAUAUGAGAUGGAAAUAUGAUAUAUUCAUUCAGAUUAAUUGCAGCAAACUCAUCUCUUCCACCAAUCUGUAAUCAACAUGCACUAUAAACACAGAUUAAGCAGUAUAGAAUAAUUCUUGCUUGCAAACUAAAACAUUCACAAACUAAGAACACAUAAAAUUCAUGCACAAAGCGAAAAUUAUGCAUAACACAGAAAAAUUACAGUCCUUGAAUAAGAGACUAAUGUUUUCACACAAAUCCAACUUACAACAAUUUUUGCUACAAACACAUUCAGCACUCAGUUUCAUAUAUAAUUCUCAACAAAUCACAAUCCUUAAAUCCAUACAACAAUGUGGUAAUACAACAAUUGAAUUCAAAUCAUGGGAUGACGCGGCGUCUGAUCCCUUCGGCUCUCUCAUUUGCCUGAAAAUUUAAAUAUAACAAAAACACAUCAAAAUUUAAAUAAAGCCUAUUGUGAUUUGUUGUGAGACAGAUCGAUAGACAUAGUAAUGGCAUAGGAAGCCAAAAUUGAUCUCAAAUGCAAAAAUAGAGUAAUGGCCAUAUGUAAUAAACAAGCUAGACAUUUUGCUAAUAUGAAUAUCAAUCUCUGAUAAAUGAAACAGAAAUAAGUUAACUCAACUGCUCUGCUCUGAUUCUAACACCUUGUUUGAUCCUCAUAUCAAAAUUUAUCUAUACAGCUGGUUUCUUGCUUUUGAGUCUUAACCAACUAAUUCCUAGUUGAUUUUGAAAUAUGGAGCCAGAAAUUAAUUAUUAUACUGCCGGAAUUUGAGAUUUUUAAGAUAUUUAAAAAACACAUCAACUGAUUACACACAAUUCAAACAAAUGAAAAUCAUGCAUAACAAGUAAUGCUUUCACACAAAUCCAACUUACAACAAUUUCGGUUACAAACUACAUACACAAUUCAUCACUCAGGUUUCAUAGUCCUCAACAAAAUCCAAAGCAAGUCACAAUCCUUAAAUUCAUACGAUAAUGUGGUAAUACAACAAUUGAUAGAGAUGUGACUAUAACAGAAGAUAUAUAUUUAUGACAUGAAUUGAUUUGGUUUGUCUGUGAAAAAAGAGAAGAAGCAGGGAAGAAACAUUAAGACGUGAUAUAUAUUGCAAAGUAGUGAGACUACCUGUCAGGCAAGUUGCAAAGUCACUUGAGCUCAAAAACGAAGAAUAGACCAUAAGUUUAUAGGCAAACUUAUGCUUUAAUUGAUGGGCACAAGCGAAAGCUAAAGGAUUGCACUCCACUAAUUCAAUGGUCGUGAUCGAAGACUGAUCAUCCGACAAAUCAAGUUGUUGCAAUUUGUAGCAGUGCUUCAUGAUUAGUCUACGAAGCCUCGGGAGGCUUCCACGUUGAGGUCUCCAUUGCACCAAAUCGGUGUCUUCAAUUCGAAGUUCAAUAAGAUUCAAAAAACUCCCCGGUUUUAUUUCCCACUCUGGGCCUCGAAAGGCAUAGCAUUUUAAUAUGAGAAGCUCGAGUUUUGGAAGCAGCGAACCAAUGUCAUUUAGAGACCCCCAAGGAUAUCCAACGCCACUCAAUUCUAAAACAGAGAGACUUGAUGGGAACACUGAAAGAUGAAUAAUAGUAGGAAACUCACGCUUUAUCUCGGGAUUCCUGAUUCUAUAUAUAAGUGAUCGCAAAUUCUGAAUUUCUGAUAUAUAACUCAAAGAACUCAAUGGGUUGGUUUCAUCAUCAUCAUAAGGCUUCAACUCCCCUUCAAUUCCUAAUAUUUGUAAAUUAGGAAUUCUUUUGACAACUUCCCAUGUACAACUGUUUGCACUCACACCAUAAAGUCUAAGGAGCUUGUUCAAGGUAACAUCAUCAGUGUUAGGGGUUGGUAGGUCCCUUCCCCAUAUCUCAAGAUGCUCUAAAUCUUCAAUAUCCCAAAUUUGCACAGGCAAAAAAGACUGAACUCCACGCUUUUUAAUUAUCAUAUGCCUUUCAAUAAUCAAGAAUUGAAGGUGAAAAAGGUUGGAUAUGGAAGCAGGGAGGUCACCGUUGUAAGUUAUGGCAAGAAAUCGUAGACAAACUAGUUUGAAAAUUUCAGUUGAGAUAUGGUAAAAUCGGACAUCAUCAGCAUAUAAUACCCUGAGCAACUUGAAUCCCAUGGCAUGUAUUGGGAUUGGAUAUGGGUGAUAAGGACCGUAAAAAAGGAGAGAACGGACAGUGGAUGCACAAUCACUUUUUAUCGAAUCACACACUUGUUUGAAGCAUAAUAAACUGUUCCAAUGGGCACACAACCGACGCUGGUCUUUUAUAACAUCAUCACAACUUUGUAAGACAUGCAGAAACUUGAUCCUACUAGCUUCUACCCUACACACGUGCUGCCAACAAGAAUGCACGUGAUAUUUUCUAUGCCAAAACCAAUAUUCAUCCUCCUGUGAUGUGUCGAGAACAAGAUGAUAACACAGCGAAAGAUUUUCCAAGCAUGUCUUCCAAAAAUUAUCAAAACUUUCUUCUCCACUCGGUUGAAGAAACACAUCAGCACUCAACAUAGCGUUGAGCAAGCUUAGGUUGAUAUCCAAAUAUGGACGGAAAGCUCCCAUGUAGAGAAAAAACAUUUUUAAAUAUUGGGGUAAGUAAUCAUAGCUUGGGAAAAGUACCUCUGAUAUUUGAUUAUAUGCAUCCACGAAGAUUGAACUGCGUUGUUUGACGACUACCUCAGUCCAGUAUUCCGGGGUCUUGUCGGCUUUUGAUAGGAGCUCUGCAACCGUGACUAUCAUAAGAGGAAGGCCUUCACAUUUCUUGGCAAUCUUCUCUCCCAGUUCCUCAAGUUGAUGAGGGAAACCCUCUUCACCAAACACCUUCUCACCAAGUAAUUCCUUACUUUCUUUCUCAUUCAACAAGCGCACUCUUUCGUACCCAUGCUGCGUGACUAUUAUAUCUUUUCUACUUGUAAGUAAGACUCGAAUAUUUCCAUCAAUAUUCUUUUCUAGUAAGAAAUUUGUGAUCAAGCGAUCUGUUGCUUGUCCCUCCCAAACAUCAUCCAACACGACGAGACAUUUCUUAUGCUUCAAUUUUUCUUUCAAUAGUCCAUCUAAUACCUCCUCAUCAUCAUCUCCUUGGGUAAGUGUUUGGUAAGCGUUGGGAUCCACUUGAGCUAGAACACAUCGUAAUAGUUCAUUAGAUUCACAUUUUCUGCCCACUUUCACCCAUGCUCGAAACUCAAAAUGGCUCCGAAUUGAUGGAUCUUCAAAAAUAUGUUUAGCAAGAGUUGUCUUUCCAACGCCCGCCAUCCCAAUAAUCGAAUAGUGUUUAUCUUCAAGAAGAUCAUCUCUGGCUUUUUGAAAUUCAUCAGAUAAUCCAAACAUCUUUGACUUGAUUCCACCAAAAUCACUUCUUGAGGAAAUAGGCUCGCCUUCUUCUUCAGCCAUAUUCUCCAUUUCAUAAGUGUAUUCCUCCUCCAUCAUCUUUAUCUUCUCGACGAAGCAAUCAACAUGGUGUUGCAGACUCUGCAGCUCUACAGGGAAUGACAAGUUGUCUCUCUCGCUUUCG
rnacentral:lncRNA from 1 species